UCGGGGAUCGUCUAACGGUAGGACGCCAGGUUCUGGCCCUGGUAAUUGGGGUUCGAAUCCCUAUCCCCGAG
rfam:Parcubacteria (Magasanikbacteria) bacterium GW2011_GWC2_45_8 TX20_C0004, whole genome shotgun sequence.